CAAAUUAAAGCUUCAGAAGCUCUAUUAUUUACAUUAAUAGGAUAGUUGUGCGAAUCAACUUAAUUUGA
rnacentral:tRNA from 1 species